UUGAACGCUGGCGGUAUGCUUAACACAUGCAAGUCGAACGGUAACAGGCAAAGCUUGCUUUGCGCUGACGAGUGGCGGACGGGUGAGUAACGCGUAGGAAUCUGCCUACUAGCGGGGGAUAGCCCGAAGAAAUUCGGAUUAAUACCGCAUAAGCCCUACGGGGGAAAGCUGGGGAUCUUCGGACCUGGCACUAGUAGAUGAGCCUGCGUUAGAUUAGCUUGUUGGUGGGGUAAUGGCCUACCAAGGCGACGAUCUAUAGCUGGUCUGAGAGGACGAUCAGCCACACUGGGACUGAGACACGGCCCAGACUCCUACGGGAGGCAGCAGUGGGGAAUAUUGCACAAUGGGCGGAAGCCUGAUGCAGCAAUACCGCGUGUGUGAAGAAGGCCUGAGGGUUGUAAAGCACUUUCAAUAGGGAGGAAAAAGCAUUGGAUAAUACCCGAUGCCUUGACAUUACCUAUAGAAGAAGCACCGGCUAACUCCGUGCCAGCAGCCGCGGUAAUACGGAGGGUGCGAGCGUUAAUCGGAAUUACUGGGCGUAAAGCGUGCGUAGGCGGUUAUUUAAGUCAGAUGUGAAAGCCCCGGGCUUAACCUGGGAACUGCAUUUGAUACUGGGUAACUAGAGUUGAGUAGAGGAGAGUGGAAUUUCCGGUGUAGCGGUGAAAUGCGUAGAGAUCGGAAGGAACACCAGUGGCGAAGGCGGCUCUCUGGACUCAAACUGACGCUGAGGUACGAAAGCGUGGGUAGCAAACAGGAUUAGAUACCCUGGUAGUCCACGCCGUAAACGAUGUCAA
rnacentral:rRNA from 1 species